GCUGUCAUCACGUUAAUGGGUCAUGCUAAGGACAUGGGAAACCAGGAAAUGAAGGAUAAUGAAGCCAUCUGAGAAGACAACAGUGUCCAGGGGCUCUGGGGCCCUGGGGCAGCACGGCUACACAUUUGUCAGGAAUGGAGGUAAAUGGUGACAAGGCAGGUGGAUGCCCUCCUGAAUCUCAGAAUGCAAAUCUUCCCUUGUGAAUUAAAUACAGUCUAACCACCAAAACCCCCAGCUAGAGGGCGCAGACAAAACUGUCAGAAGCCAAGCAUCAACUACACAUGUAUAUAAUUCCACAACUACACAUAACUUCAGUAAAACUAGGAAACCCUGAAUCUAUGAAACCAUCAGUAAACUCAGGAAGCC